GUUGAUAUAGGACUAUUGAGGCCAAAAGAUGCAUUAGUAUUUGUUGUUCCACCUGGUGUCUGUUGGUUUUGGUCAUUUGGUGAAAAGAAGAAGGGAUAGAAUGGAGCAACCCCAGGUGGAAAAGGACCGGAAGGACCAGCACACACAAAUGGGGCUGCACCUUGAGGAGUUGAAAAAGAUGACACAUUUUGUGCUGAUGGGAAUACUGGAACUAGUUGGCGCAAUGGUUUUACAUUCAAUACCUUAGAUUUGUCUAAUGACCCAGUGGGAAUGGAAUCAUGAUCCAG
rnacentral:misc_RNA from 1 species